rnacentral:lncRNA from 1 species
CCCGUCUUUGUGAUUUUUUCCUCUGUUUGCCGAAAAGGAGAUUCCCGGGUCGGAAUAUUAUCGCUUUUCUACGAGAAAAAUGGCAUAAAAAUUGAUUUUAAACAGCGGUUGACAUGCUUCGAAGUACGGUAAUGGAAUAUUUAGAAUUUUUUUGUCACGAAUUGCGCCAUGCGCACGACCCUUAUUUACCAUUUCGGAUAGUGUCUGGGACGCACGAACAAAACGCCGCUAUUCGGAUAUAACGAUGGAUUAUUUUGGACCAAACCAACAUUUGUUAUUGAAGUGGCAGUCCUGGGAGUGCAUUCUGACGAAGACAACAAAAGGCAACCCUGGAGGAAAUCAAGACAAUCCAUUGACAUUUGCUAGCUGUUUGAAAUGACACCCCUCGCCCGCAGACUUUUGGGGAAGAGGGUCUUUAUGAAGAUGCAUGAGAAGGAAAACUGACUAUUAAAGUUUCUGAGAGUUCAUUAACUUUUUUGAAGUAGGUUCUGGAUCCCAUAAAGUGCAAUAUUUCACUUGUUUGCCCGAUGUUAUUAAAAAAAAUAAGUGCUUGUGGAGGCCCCGAUAGUUCAUUUUACAUGUGACAACCAUUAAAUGAGACAAGGACAAUAGAAUCAUGGCCGCCACCGCAUGCUGGCAUUUAACGACCAAUUUUAAGGUCUGUUACUGAAAGUAACUAUGCUCUGCUUUCUGA